UUGUGUUUAAGCUGAAAGAAACGUGUGUGCAUGUGUGUGUUUGUAUGUAUGUGUUGAAGGGUUCUAACCUUGUAUGACCUUUGCUUUUCAGGUUUUUCAACUAAUUUAUAAAUUUAGAAUAAAAAAUCCCCAGCCGGGGGGUUUUUUUUUUUCCCCCCCGGCUGGGUUUUUUUUUCCUCGGUCCCGGCCGGUCUGCGAGGCGACGUUCAUCGCCAAAGUUUGGGCGCAGACCGUCCAGGGACCGGGGUUUUUGUCAGGCAGGAGGAUUUCUAGGAGGCUUCUGGGAACCACGUUCCUCAGGAGCCAUGCGAAUGCGUGCCGGGUGUUAGCAGAGCGAUUGCGACGGGAGCGAUGUUGGGUUUGUGUGUAAGCUGAAAGAAACGUGUGUGCAUGUGUGUGUUUGUAUGUGUGUGUUGAAGGGUUCUAACCUUGUAUGACCUUUGCUUUUCAGGUUUUUCAACUAAUUUAUAAAUUUAGAAUAAAAAAUCCCCAGCCGGGGGGUUUUUUUUUUUUCCCCCCGGCUGGGUUUUUUUUUCCUCGGUCCCGGCCGGUCUGCGAGGCGACGUUCAUCGCCAAAGUUUGGGCGCGGACCGUCCAGGGACCGGGGUUUUCGUCAGGCAGGAGGAUUUCUAGGAGGCUCCUGGGAACCACGUUCCUCAGGAGCCAUGCGAAUGCGUGCCGGGUGUUAGCAGAGCGAUUGCGACGGGAGCGAUGUUGGGUUUGUGUUUAAGCUGAAAGAAACGUGUGUGCAUGUGUGUGUUUGUAUGUGUGUGUUGAAGGGUUCUAACCUUGUAUGACCUUUGCUUUUCAGGUUUUUCAACUAAUUUAUAAAUUUAGAAUAAAAAAUCCCCAGCCGGGGGGGUUUUUUUUUUUUUCCCCCCGGCUGGGUUUUUUUUUCCUCCGUCCCGGCCGGUCUGCGAGGCGAGGUUCAUCGCCAAAGUUUGGGUGCGGACCGUCCAGGGACCGGGGUUUUUGUCAGG